UUUCCCUCAGGAUAGCUGGCACUCGCUUGAGCGAGUCUCAUCUGGUAAAGCGAAUGAUUAGAGGCCUUGGGGCCGAAACGACCUCAACCUAUUCUCAAACUUUAAAUGGGUGAGAUCUCUGGCUUGCUUGAACGUUGAAGCCACGAGAUUUAAUUAAUCGGAUCAGAGUGCCAAGUGGGCCAAUUUUGGUAAGCAGAACUGGCGCUGUGGGA
rnacentral:rRNA from 1 species